GAACAACGGAGCAAAAGCCUUUGAGAACUAACUAUAACUAAAGUUGGUAGGCACUAAUCUUUUAAACUUCCAAUGAUCAGCAAAAAUAUUCUCUAACAAUCAUCCAAUAACAUUUUCAGCAUCUUUUAUAUAACAAUUGAUUAUGAGAAUUAACACUUACCUAAAAAUACAUCAAUACAAAGUGAGAGAUGUCUUUCAAAUUGUGACCAAUACCAAAUCUGUUUCUGUUUAACAAAAACUUAUCCUAGUUUUAUGAUUUUUUGCAUAGAUCUUGAUUGGAAUUAUCAUGAAGUAAAGAUAAACCAGUGAAAUGUGUCAGCAACGGCAAGGGUCAGGCAUUUAAAAUAUUAUAUUACACUUCUUCUAUUGAACCUUUAACAAGUCGUUGAAGUUUCCUAGAAAAAACCAAUGUUGCCAUCCUCCUUUUCCCCCUUUUUAAUGUGGAUCAUAGGUAAAGAGUAAGAAGUAAAAACUAGAAUAACUGGUCUAGUGACGGUAAAUGCAAGAAUAUGGAGACUCAGGGAUUAGCUAGAUAGACAAGAAUAUUCCUACAAGACUUAACUGAAGUAUCAGUUCAAAAGUUCAUGAGUGAUAACAGAAUUCCCAGACAAAUUCUAGAUAACAAAAUGUUUCUUAAAGAGUUCCAAGAAGAUGAAUUUAGGUGCUCUUCCUGGACAACAUUUGGGUUUCAAAUUUUUUAUAGGCAUGAGUUUUAUUUCUAUAGGGAGUGUCUACUUGGCUAUAGAACAGGUUGGUCUCAUGGCUUACCGCUUGCUUGGAAACCAAGUAGGAAUGUGGGAUGAGGUUUCAUUGCAAAUGAGUGAAGUAGAAUGGAGGAGUGCUACAGGGGAGAAUUGGAACACGCCCUGAAGUGCAGAAUGCUCUGGUAGGUGGAAAAGGUGGGAAGUAAAAUCAGUAGGAUGAUAGGAAGAAUGCUCUGGUAGGUGGAAAAGGUGGGAAGUAAAAUCAGUAGGAUGAUAGGAAGCGUGAAGUAGAAACUUGGAAGCAAGAGGCAGAGGAGAGGAAUGUAUAGGCCAAGGGGUGUAGUUAAUGUCUCCAAGAGGAAGAUGCCAGCUCAAUUUUAUCACCAAAGUGGGUUGAAGCAUUAUAAAGCUGAUAGGGUCCAUAAGUCAUUUCAGGCCAUAGCAAAUACUAAUAAUCAUGACUAGGAAGGAAGAGGACAGAAAGGAAAAAAAAAA
rnacentral:lncRNA from 1 species